AUAAAUUGGCCUCCUGACAGCAAAAACAUUGCAAGGCCACGUAUACAGACUCACUGCUCAGACAGCAGUGCAGGGAAUGCAGCUGCCAGGAAGAGAAGGUGGAGGUAUGGAGAUUCUUUCUGUAGUUGCGACUGUCUGUGCUACUCUAUAGCAGAGGAGUGCCUGGAGGCCCAGGCUAUGUUGCAACACCUAUUUGCUAUGUGCAGGACAUACUUUCAGGAGACCAUUUCCAUCUGGAAUAGCUUCUUCUGCACACACUAAGUAUCAGUAAGAAGAAAGAGACUGAUCACGCUGCACUGGAACAGAGAAGAUGCAUAGUUUACCCAAGGCUGUAACUGAGAAAGUCCUCUAUAGAGCUGUAUG
rnacentral:lncRNA from 7 species